CCUUGUUCUGCCUCCUGGGCUGUGCCCCUCCCCACAGGGGCCUCGCCAGGGCCAUGCCCGGCAUGGUGGGGAGGGGGCUAGCACCUCACAUCAGGGCAGGGCCAGUGUCCAUUGUGAGGUAAGGCGAUGAAGAUGAUGAUGCCCUCAGAAGUUGGCAAAGAGGCUGACACAGGCCAAAAGGGGUGCCAGGGGUGCAGGACGGGAGGUGGGUGUGAGGCACAGGUAACCUUGACCUUGAGGAAGGGGCAGUGGUGGCCGUGAACCUGCGAAUCCACGGAGAAGAAUCAGACGAGGGGCAGACAUGUUCGUGAACUUGCCUGAGUUCCCACGGCAACUAAGUGGUGGGGCCGGGGCCUAAGCCAAGGCAGCCUGGCCCCAUAGCCCCUGUGACUAACCACAUCCCACGUGGCUCACAGGGCAGACACCAGAUGUCCAUGAGAGAGUGGACCAGAACCUUGUGAGGCGUGGGCCCGAUGGAGUACUAUGCAGCAGUGAAAAAGAAGGAACCACAGAGCCAUGUGCACAGAGUGGAUCCCACUCACAAAUACGCCUCCCAGCCAACAAGCAAGCUCUCCAAGAUACCUGCUGUACCACACGCCAUAUCCAAAGCGUCAGAGCCUGCAAAAGCGUAUUACAUAGGCGUUUGUACAAAUAUGGUCAAAGUAUACAAAAUGUGUCACGAUAACGUUGUGGAGGUCUGUCGCACAACACCGCAAAUCCACUGAACACCACUGAACCGCGUGCUGAAAUGCUUAAGAUGGACCUCCCUCUGCCAUGGGCAGGGGUACUGAUUGGCUUCAAAAACUCCUGGACAGCAGAUCGUGAGCGAUGGUUUUGGGUGCAGUCCCUCCCUCAGAACACCCUCCUCGACCCUGACAGGCCCGGCUUCCUCUGGGCACUGAGGAAACACCCGAUGGACUGAGUGUGGUGGGCUUGGCAGAAAUACCAUGACGUGGAAAGUCUUCUGAUCAUUCUCAUUUUCCAGAAGAGGAAACUGAGGCACAGAGAGAGUGCAAGGGACACGUUGGUAAGGGACACAGCUGGGACCUGGGCCCAGGCAGGAUGGGUGUGGGGCUGCCUCUGUACCAGCGGAGCAUGCAAGGUCUGAGUUUGAGUUAAUGCUCACUAUUUAGUAAUCGUUACUUCAGACGAUAAUACAGUGAUGUUCUAUGUUACAUAAUAAAAGUAAGAGCUUACACUGUGGA
rnacentral:lncRNA from 1 species